rnacentral:rRNA from 1 species
AGAGUUUGAUCCUGGCUCAGAACGAACGCUGGCGGCAUGCCUAAUACAUGCAAGUCGAACGAGCCCUUCGGGGUUAGUGGCGCACGGGUGCGUAACGCGUGGGAAUCUGCCCUUGGGUUCGGAAUAACGUCUGGAAACGGACGCUAAUACCGGAUGAUGACGAAAGUCCAAAGAUUUAUCGCCCAGGGAUGAGCCCGCGUAGGAUUAGCUAGUUGGUGAGGUAAAGGCUCACCAAGGCGACGAUCCUUAGCUGGUCUGAGAGGAUGAUCAGCCACACUGGGACUGAGACACGGCCCAGACUCCUACGGGAGGCAGCAGUAGGGAAUAUUGGACAAUGGGGGCAACCCUGAUCCAGCAAUGCCGCGUGAGUGAUGAAGGCCUUAGGGUUGUAAAGCUCUUUUACCCGGGAUGAUAAUGACAGUACCGGGAGAAUAAGCCCCGGCUAACUCCGUGCCAGCAGCCGCGGUAAUACGGAGGGGGCUAGCGUUGUUCGGAAUUACUGGGCGUANAGCGCACGUANGCGGCGAUUUAAGUCAGAGGUGAAAGCCCGGGGCUCAACCCCGGAAUAGCCUUUGAGACUGGAUUGCUUGAACAUCGGAGAAGUGAGUGGAAUUCCGAGUGUAAAGGU